rnacentral:rRNA from 1 species
AUUGAACGCUGGCGGCAGGCCUAACACAUGCAAGUCGAACGAGUGGCAGACGGGUGAGUAAUGUAUGGGAAACUGCCUGAUGGAGGGGGAUAACUACUGGAAACGGUAGCUAAUACCGCAUACCAUCGGAUGUGCCCAGAUGGGAUUAGCUAGUAGGUGGGGUAAAGGCUCACCUAGGCGACGAUCCCUAGCUGGUCUGAGAGGAUGACCAGCCACACUGGAACUGAGACACGGGCCAGACUCCUACGGGAGGCAGCAGUGGGGAAUAUUGCACAAUGGGCGAAAGCCUGAUGCAGCCAUCCCGCGUGUAUGAAGAAGGCCUUCGGGUUGUAAAGUACUUUCAGCGGGGAGGCGUUACCCGCAGAAGAAGCACCGGCUAACUCCGUGCCAGCCGCCGCGGUAAUAC